GAGCCCGCACAAGCAGUGGAGCAUGUGGUUUAAUUCGAAGAUACGCGAAGAACCUUACCAGGGCUUGACAUACCGUUUAACACUCUAGAGAUAGAGGAAUAUAUGACGGAUACAGGUGGUGCAUGGUUGUCGUCAGCUCGUGUCGUGAGAUGUUAGGUUAAGUCCUCCAACGAGCGCAACCCUUGUCCUUAGUUACCAUCAUUCAGUUGGGGACUCUAAGGAGACCGCCGGUGUAAACCGGAGGAAGGUGGGGAUGACGUCAAAUCAUCAUGCCCUUUAUGUCCUGGGCGACACACGUGCUACAAUGGUCGGAACAAAGAGCAGCAAACUCGCGAGAGUAAGCGAAUCUCAGAAAACCGAUCUCAGUUCGGAUCGAAGUCUGCAACUCGACUUCGUGAAGCCGGAAUUGCUAGUAAUCGCAGAUCAGCCAUGCUGCGGUGAAUACGUUCCCGGGCUUU
rnacentral:rRNA from 1 species